UACGGGGGGAGCAAGCGUUGUUCGGAUUUACUGGGCGUAAAGGGCGCGUAGGCGGCCACCGCAAGUCGACUGUGAAAUCUCCGGGCUUAACCCGGAAAGGUCAGCCGAUACUGCAGGGCUAGAGUGCAGAAGGGGCAACUGGAAUUCUCGGUGUAGCGGUGAAAUGCGUAGAUAUCGAGAGGAACACCGGUGGCGAAGGCGGUUCUCUGGGCAUGUCCUGACGCUGAGGAGCGAAAGUGUGGGGAGCGAACAGG
rnacentral:rRNA from 1 species